GGAUUCCAGAGAUGGAUUCCUUCAGUUCGGCUGGACAAUGUACAGGUGCUGCAUGGCUGUCGUCAGCUCGUGUUGUGAGAUGUUCGGUUAACUCCGGCAACGAGCGCAACCCACGUCCUUAGUUACCAGCAUUUAGUUGGGUACCCUAAGGAGACUGCCGGUGAUAAGCCGGAGGAAGGUGUGGACGACGUCAAGUCAUCAUGGCCCUUACGGGUUGGGCUACACACGUGCUACAAUGGCAUCUACAGUGAGUUAAUCUCCAAAAGAUGUCUCAGUUCGGAUUGGGGUCUGCAACUCGACCCCAUGAAGUUGGAAUCGCUAGUAAUCGCGGAACAGCAUGCCGCGGUGAAUACGUUCCCGGGCCUUGUACACACCGCCCGUCACACCAUGGGAAUUGGGUCUACCCGAAGGUGGUGCGCCAACUAUUUAUAGGGGCAGCCAACCACGGUAGGUUCAGUGACUGGGGUGAAGUCGUAACAAGGUAGCCGUAGGGGAACCUGCGGCUGGAUCACCUCCUUUCUAAGGAUGAUCUUAGCUGAAAGUUUACUUUCACGUAGAUCACUUUUUAGCAGCUCUUAAAUGAACUUUAGUAGUCUUCGGACUACAUUAUAGACCGAACCGUCCUCAUAUCUCUUCAGUAAUAAUAAUUUUGCAGGUCAUCGAUCUGUUAAGGGUCGGUAGCUCAGGUUGGUUAGAGCGCACGCCUGAUAAGCGUGAGGUCGGAGGUUCAAGUCCUCCUCGACCCACCAAAAAAUGGGGCGUUAGCUCAGCUGGGAGAGCACCUGCUUUGCAAGCAGGGGGUCAUCGGUUCGAUCCCGAUACGCUCCACCAUUUCCUUCAGAUUAUUAUAUCAAUUCCGAUUAGAUCAUUAAGAGCUGUACGCAGCUUUUAAUCAUCCAAUCGGAUGGCGAACCUUCGAGUUCACUUUUACAUCGUUUAGAGAGCAUAUAAAACACGAGACGUAAGUUUCUUGUUUGAACCACUUCUUCGGGAGAGGUUAAUGAUUGAAUAUCUUAGGGCUGAAGAGCUUUGGGGCGCUAGAUUGUUAGCUGGUUCGCAGUAUCAUAGGUAACUAUGAAGCAUAAUCAGACUAGGGUGACCAACCCACUGUGCAUGUGCUGUUGGUGAGCGUUCCAGUGCGGUUCGCAAGCUAAUUCAAAGAUAAUUUACAGUCUUUCCAAGUCAAAUACACUAACCAAAGUCACAGUGAAUUAGAUCUACUGUGACAUGAAGGGAUGCUCGAAAGGGCAUUCAUUCGCUGGAAUGUGCGUGACCUUCCUGCCAAGGGAGGGUUACAUUUGAGUUCAAAAAUAAAUGUUGUUUUUGCAAUAGCAAAACAAAUGACGUGCCUAUCGCAAGAUAGGUGCUGAUGAACAAUUUUCUCAAAAAAAAUGACGACUUCUGUUUUAGAAAUAGUCUGACUAUUUCUGGAUCAGAUCAAGCGCGAGAAGGGCGUUUGGUGGAUGCCUUGGCAGUAAGAGGCGAUGAAGGACGUGAUACUCUGCGAUAAGCUUUGGGAAGUCGAGAAUAGACGCUAUACCCAAAGAUCU
rnacentral:sRNA from 1 species